UCUAAAGAAGGUUCAGCAUGUGCUCCAGAUGUUGUGGAAAAGGUUUCCUCAUGAAUAAUACUGUUAAUAUUCACAGGAUACUUUCAGAAUAUUUUUCUCACACACCAUCUUAUUUUAUUUGAUCUAUAUACAGCUUUCUCACCAUCUCUUUUUGAUAGAUGAACAGUGAGGCUCAGAAGGGUUAGAGGUAAAGCAACGUCUGGAGGAAGCAGCUCUGACCAAGCAAGUCACAGAGUUGGGAUGGGACCUGAGAACCUCUGAUACCAGAUCCCACUUCUUUCCCUUUCAGAGAUCCUAGAUUUCUCCUCCGCAGUGGCAGUGUCUGGUCCAUCUUAAACUUCAGAUCAAUCUAUGGACCUCAGGAGAAUAUCUCUUGCCAUGAAAAGAGUUUAUUUAGAUCCUCUCCAGCAGUGGAUCUCAAUUCUUGCCAACUGAUUUAUCCUAAUUUAUAAGCCUCCUGGCAUAAUCCUCUCAGACUAUUUACCAAUGCAUUUUACUCAAUGUCUUACUCAGUUCAGGCUGCUAUAACAAAAUACCAUCAACCAUGUGGCUUAAACAACAGGCAUUCAUUUCUCAUAAUUCUAGAGGCUGGAAGUUCAAGGUCAAGGUGCUGGCAGAUGUGGUGUCUGGUGAGGGCUCUUUUCCUGGUUUGAAGAUGGCUGCCUUCUCACUGUGCUCCCACAGGCUUUCCUCAAUGCACGUGCAUGGAGAGAGAGAGAUCUCUGUCUUCCUCUGCUUCUAAGGGCACUAAUCCCAGCAUGAAAGUCCUGCCCUCCUGGCCUCAUCUAAACCUAAUUACCUCCCCAAGGCCCCACCUCUAAAUGCCAUCACAGUGAGGGUUGGGGCUUCAAUGCAGGAAUUUUGCGUGGUGGGGGAGGGGACACACAAACACACAGACGUUGAGCCCACAACACUCAAUUCAUAAAAAAAUAUUUCUUCUCAUUGCCAAAUUGCCUUAUCUACAUCAUUUUUGCUUAUGUUUAUGGAGUGCUAACUCUAUGCCAGAUGUUUUUCUUCAGUAUUUCAUGUACGCAACUUAUUUACUCUCUAUGACAAUCCAGUGAAGUGGUUACCAUUCAAACUGCUUUAGGUCUUUCAAAUUAACGCUUUGUUGCUGGCCAAUAGCUAUUUUGCUGAAUUGCUCUCCCUUCUAUUGUGGUGUCUGGGAACUUGGGAAGUGAGAUUUUAAGACUACCUGGCUAGCUGGGUUCUGGUUAAGAUUCUGUUCAUGGGGAGCAUUUUAUCUGGAAGGUGGGAGGGAAGCAGGAGCCGUCGUUCCUCCAUAGAUGGACAGCCCACUGCUAUGGGCUGAAUGUUUGUGUCCCCCUAGAACUCACAUGUUGAAACCAUAAUCCCCAAUGUGGUGGUAUUUGGAGGUGGGGCGUUUGGGAGGUGAUUAGCUCAUGAUGAGAUUAGCAGCUUUAUACACACCAAGGACAGGCCAUGUGAGGACAUAUCCAGGAAGAGAGCCUUCACCAAGAACCCGACUAUGCUGGCACCCUGGUCUCAGGCUUCCAGUCUUCAGAACCCUGAGAAAUAAAUGUUUGUUGUUAAAGCCACCCGGCCUAUGGUAAUUAGUUGUAGCCUGAACUGACUAAGACACCAACCCUUGAGGAACCUGUAGGUAUUCCCCUGAAGAUCACCACCCUGGGGAUCCACACAUGAGCCACCAUCAGCACAGUUCUUUGCAUUUCUGGCCCUGAAAGUGGAAGCCUUUUCUUGAUUUAUCAGAAAGCAAACCUGAGAGCUAGCAACAGCUUUUGCUGAGCUUCACGCUUCCACCUCUUUCACUGGUUUUAUAACCACUUAAUUCCCUGUAUUAAAUCAUUUCCUGGGGCUGGCUCCAUGGCCGAGUGGUUAAGUUUGCACGCUCCGCUGCGGCGGCCCAGGGUUCGGAUCCUGGGAGCGGACAUGGCACUGCUCAUCAGGCCACGUUGAGGCGGCGUCCCACAUGCCACAACUAGAAGGACCUGCAACUAAGAUAUACAACUAUGUACAGGGCGGGGUUUGGGAAAUAAAAGCAGAAAAAAAAAAUCAUUUCCUCCUUGGAAUACCUAGAGGAGUUUCUGUUUUCUGGACCAAAACACUAGGUGAUAUAAUUAUACUUCGUUUUGUUUUUUUCUUAGACAAUAGACGAUGCCGAAGUAAAAUAUUUUGUAUCAAUCUUUGUUUUCAUUUUCUCAUUAGCUUUUGACUAAAAAAGUAGAAAUCACGUGUGAAGCAAGCCUUCAGCAUAGAGGUUUUAAAAGUGUAUAUAUUAAUGCUACUUCUAGAAUCGUAGUUGAUAAAGACAGUCUUUUAGCAGAUCAAAUUUCAAUUUUAAACGGCAGAAAGGAGUGAUUCUCAACUUUGGCUGCUCAUUAGAAUCAUUCCGGUAGCUUUUAAGAAAAUACCUAUGUUUGGACCUUACCCCACACUAAAAUGGAAUCUCUGGUGUCUUAACUCUGAUUUUUUUAAAUGUGAAAUUUACAUACUAGGAAAAGCUAGUGGGUUAAUUGAAUGUAUGCACACCUGCCAUUUUAUGUCCUGUCUCAGGUCCUGUAAGUGUACCUGGGCUGGCCAUACAAUCACACAGUGGAAGAAUAUUAAUAUCAUCUAGAGGUGCAUGCACUUCAUUUUCUGGAAUCUUCUAAGCUAGUGCAUCUCUAACCUGAAUAUACAUACAGAUCGCCUGGAGAGCUCAUUAAAAUGCAGGUUCUGAUUAAGGAGAUCUGGGAUGGGGCCUGGAAUUCUACAUUUUCUAUGUGAUUCCAAUGCUAUUGGAACCCGUAGCAAACUUCUAACCAAUUUUUGCUUUUCUACCCCUCGUUCUUGAUUUCUCUGUUUCAUCAACCACCUUUUUCUCCUCCUUAGUUUGAUUGUUCACUUUAACUUCCAUUCUGUAUUCUGUUUUAUUGAUGAACCUGUUUAGACUUGCUAUCCCCACAAUAUUUUCAUAGCAUAUAAAUUCUAGUAUAACCUUCCGGUUCUAACACCUCACCAGGCAUAUUAGUCACCUCACUUCAUGGCCAUCCUUGGUAGUGUUUGAUUCCCACCAGGCCUGCUUUUCUCCAAUAGAGGAGAAGGUUAGCUCAGCCAGAGAAAAGGAGAUGCAGACGUAUUUCUUCAUGUUGAUGAAAACGUUUUUGUAUCUUUAUCUACAAUGUUAUCAUCCUGGCUGCACAUCUAAAAUUACCUGAGGGAGUUUGAAAAAAUAUCUGAUGCCCAAGAACUACCACUACAGAUUCCGAAACAAGCAGCCUAAGGUGGGGGCCUGGGCACCCAUAUUUUUAAAAAACUGUCAAGGCAAUUCUCUUGUGCAUGCAGCACUGAGAAUCACUGAUCUAUGCAAAAAUUUAAGAAGCUGCUGAAUGUUUUGAGUUAUUGACAAUGUACCAGUCAGCUAUUGCUGUGUAACAAACAAUCACAAAAAUCCCACAACAAUAAGCAUUGUCUUCUCAUGCAUCUCUGACGAUGGCUGGGCAUCCCUGAGGAUCCCAGCAUGGUUGGCUGCGCUUGGCUUCAAGCCAUGGGUUUAGUUUAUGUUGGGUUCAUGUGACUCUCAUUCUUUUGGGGCCAGCAGGCCACUGGUCUCUUCAUGGCAAUGUUCUCUUCAUGGGAAUGACAGAAUUACAAGGAAAGUGAGUGGAUAUGUGAUGUCUCUUACGGUCUCAGCUCAGCACACACUUUCAUCCUGCCCUUGUUCCACUGGUCAAAGUAAGUCACAUGGCCAAGCCCAGCAUUGAUGGGCUCUGCAAUUUAAUAGUACUUUUUAGUUACUUUCCUUGGCCACGCCUCUCACUGGGGAUAUUUUGAGCAGAGCUAAAGUUGAGAGUUACUCUCUCAUGCUCAGUUCCCUCCCAGACUUAACAAGACUCCAGGAGGGUAAUUCUUGUUUCCUCCAUCUAGUGAAACUUGUAACUUAAAAUGAUCUCCCAAAUCACUAUCUUUCUACAACCAUGUACUCAUUCUCCCUUUUCUUUUUUAAACAUUUAUGUUAACUCUCUGAUGGUGUCGUGCCAAGCUGUAUCGGAUCCUGAAGCAAAAGGAAAAAACAGUAACACUAAUCCUGUUUUAUUUAAACUUAUGAUAUUUUGUUUAUCAUGAACUUUCUUGCUUCAACUUUUGUUUUUUAUAGUAUUGCAUUAAAAUGUUAUUUAUCUUGAUUUCUGAGUUUUUGGCUCCCUCUUAGUUCUAGCCCUGCUCUUUAUAAAUGUAUGUCUGGGCAUACGUUGAUGAAGGUAUGUGUGGCCUCCAGGGAUCUGGCCUUGCUCACUCCUCCAGAGGAUGCUGCUGGCUUUACUCAGAGCUUUCUUUCUAUACCAGCUCUUUCUAGAAACUGCUUUUCUGGAACUAAACUCUGGGGUCUUUUCAUUUGUCAAGUAAAUAUGUCCAUGUGAUGCAACCUCCAUUUUUGUGUUGAGAUCAGACAGGAUAUUCUCCCUCAUUCACUGCCAGGCUGACCUCCAGAAGUUGUGUUGUGAGCCUGCCCCAGUCUCCCAGCAGUGUUUGAAUCUGGGGAACUCAGCAGUCAGCUGAAAGACUUCUUCGUGCAUCCCUCCACAGGGCACCAGGGCAUAUGGUAGGUACAAAUUAAACACAGUAGCAACCUGGAUAUCUAAUUAUUCUCUGAGGCAAAUAUGUAAAUCAAGAUGCUGAUAACUCUGGGUUAUAUACUUAAACCCUUUUCUAUUAAUUUUCUGAAAUACACAUAAAGAAAAGCUUCCUUAUUUUAGUAACCCUUAGAAAGUUGACUCUUGGAUAAAUAAAGCCGUGUGGCAUAAAGACACAACACGGAUUUUGGAAUCAGAAAGUCAAGAGUUUGUGUCUUGGAUCAAUCGGGCACCAGAUGUGUGACUUUCAGAAAAUGUCUUAACUUUUCUGAAUCUCAAUUUAGUAAGAAUAAUGGUCUUUCUCUUGGAGGUAGAGGAAUAUGUAUACAGCUCAUGACAUAGAACAGAGCUCAGGAAGUGAUAGUUAUGAGGUACUGAGUUUUUCACCCAGAACAAAUGUUGAUUUAAGUAUCAGAGCUUUUUGAAAGUGUAAUCCUUCAGAAAGAAGUCCUUCAAAAUUUAUCGCUCAUUCAACUUUCCUCUUUACGUAGACUAGACAGAGUCUACUUUAUCUAUCUCCACGUACCAAGGCCACUAAUAGGUGCAGCUGUGCCUGGGCUCUCAUGAAAUGCCGAGAUGCCUCACGACCUGUGGAUUCACGAAGGCCAGGUUGUCCUGUGUACAUCGCUUAAGGAGUCAGUGCGCUUAUCUGCUUUUUAUGCUCUUUGAUCUUCUCUCUUGCAUCAGAAGUUUGCUAUCAUUUGUCCUUGCUACCCCUAAUUGCCUCUUUUUACUUGCUAGUCCUGACUUGCAGUAGGUUUGUAAGCCAGAUGCUUAGCUUAAUAAAAUUGUGGGCACAUAAAAGCAUUCCUAGGCGAUGAGUAAGGACCAAGGGUAUCUCCUACGUGUAGUGCAUGCAUUUCGUGGCAUCUGUUUCACAAAGAGUUUUCUUCUUGGCUAAGUCCUACACAGGUAAAGAUGUCAGGUGUCUGGAUUUUGGAGGGGUGAGGUGGAAUGAUAACAUUUUAUAUGGCUUCGAAUGGAUGGAGGGCUUAAAUAUAUUCUCAUUGAGGAGCAUGGUUGCUUCAUAACAGCCGGGACUCUGCUUUGUGUGAUCUGACAUCCUUCACAACACCAGGAUCAAGGCCGAUGGAGCAGCCACCAUCCAGAACAUUGUCAGAGGCAGACAGGAAAAGAGAAUGUGGAAAGCAUAGGCCGACUUUUAAAGCUUCUACCAGUCACUUCUUUUUGUUGUUUUGGUAAAGAAGACUGGCCCUGAGCUAACAUCUGUUGCCAAUCUUCUUCUUCUUUUUUUUUUGCUUGAGGAAGAUUGUCCCUGAGCUAACAUCUGUGCCAGUCUUUCGCUACUUUGUAGGAGGGACACUGCCACAAUAUGGCUUGAUGAGCAGUGUGUGGGUCUGCGCCCAGGAUCCGAAACUGCAAACCCUGGGCUGCCAAAGUGGAGUGUGUGAACUUAACCACUACACCACAGGUCUGGCCCCUUACCAGUCACUUCUGAUCACAUUUUAUGGUCAAAAGACGACAUGGCCCCACUUCAAGUGUGUGGUCAAGUGCUGUUCUACCAAGUGGCCAGAAGGAGAGAGCUAGAAUAAUUAUGAACAAAUCUAAUGACACAAAGGGAUGAUUUACAUAAAAGUCAGGAUACUUUUGAGAAGCUAGAAGGCAAAUGCAAUUUGGGAGGGACGUAGGAGGGCUCCUGAGGUACAUUAGUGCUCUUUUUCUUGGCAUGGUUGGUGAGUUUACAGGCUUGAGUAGUCUUUAAAUUGUACAUAUAUGUUUUCCUAUAUUCCUUAUUUAUAUUUCAUAAUAAAAGAUAAAAUAAAAUAUAAAAAAGAACCCUUUAAAACAUACAGGUCAUAUAUAUGGUCAUUUAGUUAUAGAAAAUGUUUGGAAGGAUUUAAGAGACAUUGUUAACUCUCUUAGGGAGAGGAAGGAGAGAUUGGGAGAGAUGAAAUGGAAAAUUUUACAUUUCAUUUUCUGCCUUUGGGUUUAAAUUUCUUUCUUAUAGUGUACAUGAUUUGCUUUUAUAAUGAAAGAUUAAUUUUUUAGAAAAGCAUAAAAAUCAAGAAACAAAAUAAAAAAAUGUGACUGGCCUCAGUGUGAGAUGUGUGUGUGCUCCCCAACUUUAGACGAAGACCUGCGCUGGGAGAAAGGGGAGAAGGCAUCGGAAGUGUGUCUCAAAAUGGAGCAGAAGGAUUGGACAGUCCUCAAAGCGGACGGGGAGGAAGGACUAUCAAUCCUAACAUCAGAAAGAGGUGUAGACAUGAUUUGGCACCAAGUCACCCCAGAGUGUAGACCUCUGAGUGACCUGUUAUUGAGGGUCAUUGUCCAACAGCUUGGACCCUCGAAGGCUGCAGGAAACAGAGAGAGAAGGACUUGGUCAAUUUGUGUGGGGAUGUGGGUCUGAAAGGAGAGUCUCCUCUUGACCAUGGUGGAACUGAACUGGAUCAACUGGAAAUUUCCCUAGGAACUGGGAGGGUAGUGGAUAUACUACACAUGUAAUUAAAAGUUAAUGACAUAAAAGUUGCGUUGAAUCUAUCUUUGUUCUUGGUGGUUGCAUAAAUCUAUUUAUUAUGAGGAAAAUUAGAAAGAAAACC
rnacentral:lncRNA from 1 species